rnacentral:tRNA from 2 species
GCCUGAAUAGCUCAGUCGGCAGAGCAACUGGCUGUUAACCAGUGGGUCGUAGGUUCGAGUCCUACUUCAGGCGCCA